CUCUCUCACUCCCUCUCAUUCUGUAGAUUUUAGAUACAUCAGGUUAAUUAUCACAGCUAGAGGAUGCAUGUAAUUCUAAACUGAUGGAACAAAGAGUAAGAGAAAUAAUAUAUCAGUACAGUUAGAUCAAUACCUGAAAUAAACGAAAUGUAUGAAGUCCUGGCAACAAUGGUAGUGGAACAGAAUUUAAAAGGGUUCAAUAUUGGAUAGGAUUGAUUACAAUGUUGAGAGGUCACUUCAUAAAGUCACUGAAAGUGUCAAACAACUGGAAAAGGCUGAGAACCAUCAAACGAGAUCAAUCAAGCUAAUUAUUAUAGUAUUUAGGGAUUCAUGCAGGAUUCUUUUGUAGGGGGACAUCAUUGACAAAUAUGAAUGAUAACAAUACUUAUUUUGGCAUUUUUUAUUUUUUUAUAUUGCGUUAAUCAAGCAAAAGCUGAUUUUAUCAGUGCCAGCAUAAAGAUUUAUACACAUGAUUUCAAUUGUGUGCUUUUCUUGUAAUGAACAAUAUGAAUUACAGCAAGUAUGAGCAUUUUCAUUAAAGUUACCCAGACUAUUUUAGGGGGGAACUAAAGUUUGGGCCAGGUUUCCUAUCCCCUAUGUAUGAAUCCAUGGUAUUUAUUUAAUAGUGAUAAUAGUUAGGGCUGUGUUGCUUUUAUUGUUGUUAAAGUUGUAAAAGAAUAAUUUAAUAUACUAACAAAAUUAAUUAAUGUAAACACACAUUGUAUUGCAUAUUAUUAUGCAUUUCACUAUUGUGUAGUUUAUUUAAUGCUGCUACAUAAGUAAUUAUAAUUAAAAUGAAUUACCAUAUUUGGAGCUACGCAAUAUCCACUAUUGGUAGGGGUUUGUGUGGUUGAUUAUUUCUGAAUGUCUUCUUUUGAUCUUCAAGAGUAUCCUCCAGGAGAGAAGGAAUGUAUCCUGUAUAAAUACCAACAUAUUCCAGCGAUGGGUGGAUGAAAAUAGUUUCAUAUAAAUGUUGUACAAGUUCUAUCCAGUUAGGUUGCGAUGACUCUUUAUUAAUAGGUACACACACUAUCCUCAGUAGUCUGAUGGUUGUAUGUGACUGUAACAUGUUCAUAACAGCAGGUAGUACCUGUUCAUAAAACAAUGGCGUCAUUAUUUGUUUCCUCUUUUCUCUACUACAGUUACUGUAUGACUGAUCUGGUGUGAAGUUCAAUUCCAGUUCUGUUAGAUUUUUCUUUUUAAAGAUGAAAUUAAUAAAAGUUCUUAUAUCGUCAUUCACUUCAUUCAGUUGAAUAGAUACACUCAACUGCUGUAGACUGGUAUUGUGUCUGAGACCAGUUGUUAGAAAGGACAGAAAUGAACUAAACCUGAAAUCAUAAAACUCAAGGUAUUUCAGUGUUUGGUUUUGUGUUAGCAUGUCUUGUAGACUAGC